AUAGAGUGAAUGAGUGCACAAGCCUUGAGAGAAGGUAUGAGAUAAGGCACACAAAAUAACUCAAACUUUUGGCUUAUAACAUUUUGUGCUUUUAGAAAAGGAAAGAGUUUGUACAUCUUUCAAAAAUCUAUGUGUAUGUAAAUGUGAUUUAUUUAAAGCGGCAGCGGCGGCGGCGGUAAUAGUAAAAAAGCGAAAAUGUAGUAAAAUGUAUUUAAAUAUUAACUUUGAUCGUUUUUUUCUUAAAACUUGACUUGUUUUUUGAUUAAGAAGAAAAUUAAUUAUUUUCUAAAUGCUGCUUACGAUAUUGAAUAUGCUGUUUCUCCUGCUGCUGCUCCUCGUAUGAAUUUUAUAACCGUUUGAGGUUUUGUUGGUGCAUUUUUAUCAUAUUAGAGAUUGGCGUGGAAAUUAACUGAAGAAAUGGCGAUUGUGUCCGAGGUGUGAGUGCAGAGAAACAGCAAGUUAUACAUAAUUGUUAGUCAUUUUAAAUUUGAGAUUGUUCAUAAGGAAAAAGGAAAUAUCAAGAAAAUCACCUUUAAAUAAGUCUCUUUCAAUUGUAUUUCAUUUCCACUGAAUAAACAAUUGUUUUGCAACACGUUUUGGACAAUUAUCAAA